ACAUGCUGUGAGCUCGAUGAGUAGGGCGGGACACGUGGUAUCCUGUCUGAAUAUGGGGGGACCAUCCUCCAAGGCUAAAUACUCCUGACUGACCGAUAGUGAACCAGUACCGUGAGGGAAAGGCGAAAAGAACCCCGGCGAGGGGAGUGAAAAAGAACCUGAAACCGUGUACGUACAAGCAGUGGGAGCACGCUUAGGCGUGUGACUGCGUACCUUUUGUAUAAUGGGUCAGCGACUUAUAUUCUGUAGCAAGGUUAACCGAAUAGGGGAGCCGAAGGGAAACCGAGUCUUAACUGGGCGUUAAGUUGCAGGGUAUAGACCCGAAACCCGGUGAUCUAGCCAUGGGCAGGUUGAAGGUUGGGUAACACUAACUGGAGGACCGAACCGACUAAUGUUGAAAAAUUAGCGGAUGACUUGUGGCUGGGGGUGAAAGGCCAAUCAAACCGGGAGAUAGCUGGUUCUCCCCGAAAGCUAUUUAGGUAGCGCCUCGUGAAUUCAUCUCCGGGGGUAGAGCACUGUUUCGGCAAGGGGGUCAUCCCGACUUACCAACCCGAUGCAAACUGCGAAUACCGGAGAAUGUUAUCACGGGAGACACACGGCGGGUGCUAACGUCCGUCGUGAAGAGGGAAACAACCCAGACCGCCAGCUAAGGUCCCAAAGUCAUGGUUAAGUGGGAAACGAUGUGGGAAGGCCCAGACAGCCAGGAUGUUGGCUUAGAAGCAGCCAUCAUUUAAAGAAAGCGUAAUAGCUCACUGGUCGAGUCGGCCUGCGCGGAAGAUGUAACGGGGCUAAACCAUGCACCGAAGCUGCGGCAGCGACGCUGAUGCGUUGUUGGGUAGGGGAGCGUUCUGUAAGCCUGCGAAGGUGUGCUGUGAGGCAUGCUGGAGGUAUCAGAAGUGCGAAUGCUGACAUAAGUAACGAUAAAGCGGGUGAAAAGCCCGCUCGCCGGAAGACCAAGGGUUCCUGUCCAACGUUAAUCGGGGCAGGGUGAGUCGACCCCUAAGGCGAGGCCGAAAGGCGUAGUCGAUGGGAAACAGGUUAAUAUUCCUGUACUUGGUGUUACUGCGAAGGGGGGACGGAGAAGGCUAUGUUGGCCGGGCGACGGUUGUCCCGGUUUAAGCGUGUAGGCUGGUUUUCCAGGCAAAUCCGGAAAAUCAAGGCUGAGGCGUGAUGACGAGGCACU
rnacentral:rRNA from 1 species